AGCAGCCGCGGUAAUUCCAGCUCCAAUAGCGUAUAUUAAAGUUGCUGCAGUUAAAAAGCUCGUAGUUGAAUUUCGGGAUUAGUACGCUGGUCAUGCCUUUGGUAUGUACUGGUGUUACUGAUUCCUACCUUCUGAAGAACCGUUAUGUCAUUCAUUUGGUGUGGCGGGGAAUCAGGACUGUUACUUUGAAAAAUUAGAGUGUUUAAAGCAGGCUCGCGCUUGAAUACAUUAGCAUGGAAUAAUGAAAUAGGACGUUGAUCCUAUUUUGUUGGUUUCUAGGAUUGACAUAAUGAUUAAUAGGGAUAGUUGGGGGCAUUAGUAUUCAAUUGUCAGAGGUGAAAUUCUUGGAUUUAUUGAAGACUAACUACUGCGAAAGCAUUUGCCAAGGAUGUUUUUCAUUAAUCAAGAACGAAGUUAGGGGAUCGAAGACGAUCAGAUACCGUCGUAGUCUUAACCAAUAAACUAUGCCGACUAGGGAUCGGAU
rnacentral:rRNA from 1 species